CUUAGAGAAAAAAGUUUUCCCAACUUCUCAUUCCGCCUUCAGUUCCAGACUUCAGAGUCACCGUGAUCAGCGACCUUUUUGAGGACAGUUUUUCCCAUUGAUAGUCGCAGCAAACGUGCAAGCCUUUCACAUCACGUGAGGAUCAAGGGCUCAAUUGGUUGUCGUGAGAACAAAAAUGGUGACAAGCG